ACCCGCUGAACUUAAGCAUAUCAAUAAGCGGAGGAAAAGAAACCAACAGGGAUUGCCUUAGUAACGGCGAGUGAAGCGGCAAAAGCUCAAAUUUGAAAUCUGGCAUCAGCCCGAAUUGUAAUUUGUAGAGGUUAGUUCGGCAAGCAUUUUGGCCCAAGUCUUCUGGAACGGAGCAUCUUGGAGGGUGAGAAUCCCGUACGGUCAAUGUGUUAGCCAUGUGAACUUCCUUCGACGAGUCGAGUUGUUUGGGAAUGCAGCUCUAAUUUGGUGGUAAAUUCCAUCUAAAGCUAAAUAUUGGCCAGAGACCGAUAGCGCACAAGUAGAGUGAUCGAAAGAUGAAAAGCACUUUGGAAAGAGAGUGAAAAAGUACGUGAAAUUGUUGAAAGGGAAGCGCUUGCAAUCAGACUUGUAUACAGUUGUUCAGCUUGUCAUUGACAGGUUCAUUCUUCUGUGUUCAUGCCAACAUCAGUUUGAGCGGUUAGAUAAAGGUUUGGGGAAUGUGAAUCUUCGGAUUGUUAUAGCCCCUUACACAAUAUAACCAGUUUGGACUGAGGUCAGCGUUCGCUAGGAUGUUGGCUUAAUGGUUGUCAGCGGCCCGUCUUGAAACACGG
rnacentral:rRNA from 1 species